UUGCCCUACGGGAGGCAGCAGUGAGGAAUAUUGGGCAAUGGAGGCAACUCUGACCCAGCCAUGCCGCGUGAGUGAAGAAGGUUUUCGGAUUGUAAAGCUCUUUCGGAUGUGACGAUGAUGACGGUAGCAUCUAAAGAAGCCCCGGCUAACUACGUGCCAGCAGCCGCGGUAAUACGUAGGGAGCGAGCGUUAUCCGGAAUUAUUGGGUGUAAAGGGUGCGUAGACGGGAAAACAAGUUAGUUGUGAAAUCCCUCGGCUUAACUGAGGAACUGCAACUAAAACUAUUUUUCUUGAGUGCAGGAGAG
rnacentral:rRNA from 1 species